rnacentral:rRNA from 1 species
GACGAACGCUGGCGGCGUGCUUAACACAUGCAAGUCGAACGGAAAGGCCCUGCUUUUGUGGGGUGCUCGAGUGGCGAACGGGUGAGUAACACGUGAGUAACCUGCCCUUGACUUUGGGAUAACUUCAGGAAACUGGGGCUAAUACCGGAUAGGAGCUCCUGCUGCAUGGUGGGGGUUGGAAAGUUUCGGCGGUUGGGGAUGGACUCGCGGCUUAUCAGCUUGUUGGUGGGGUAGUGGCUUACCAAGGCUUUGACGGGUAGCCGGCCUGAGAGGGUGACCGGCCACAUGGGGACUGAGAUCCGGCCCAGACCCCUACGGGGGGCAGCGGUGGGGAAUUUUGCACAAUGGGCGGAAGCCUGAUGCAGCAACGCCGCGGGGGGGAUGACGGCCUUCGGGUGGUAAACCGCUUUCGCCUGUGACGAAGCGUGAGUGGCGGGAAUGGGAAAAGAAACCCCGGCAAACUACGG